rnacentral:tRNA from 1 species
UAGCUUAGUGGUUAAAGCUAUGGAUCGCCAAUCCGGAGACGGCGGGUUCGAUUCCCGU